GGGCCCGCACAAGCGGUGGAGCAUGUGGUUUAAUUCGACGCAACGCGAAGAACCUUACCAGGGCUUGACAUCCUCUGACCGCAUAUGAAAGUAUGUUUUCUGGCUUCGGUCAGACAGAGAGACAGGUGGUGCAUGGUUGUCGUCAGCUCGUGUCGUGAGAUGUUGGGUUAAGUCCCGCAACGAGCGCAACCCCUACGUUUAGUUGCUAACGUGUAACGAUGAGCACUCUAGGCGGACUGCCGUUGACAAAACGGAGGAAGGUGGGGAUGACGUCAAAUCAUCAUGCCCCUUAUGUUCUGGGCUACACACGUGCUACAAUGGCCGGUACAAAGGGACGCAAAGCCGCGAGGUGGAGCAAAUCCGAUAAAAGCCGGUCUCAGUUCGGAUUGCAGGCUGCAAUUCGCCUGCAUGAAGUCGGAAUCGCUAGUAAUCGCAGGUCAGCAUACUGCGGUGAAUACGUUCCCGGGCCUU
rnacentral:rRNA from 1 species